rnacentral:rRNA from 1 species
UACGUAGGGUGCAAUCGUUGUCCGGACUUAUUGGGCGUAAAGAGCUCGUAGGCGGUCUGUCGCGUCGGCUGUGAAAACUCGGGGCUCAACUCCGAGCUUGCAGUCGAUACGGGCAGGCUAGAGUUCGGCAGGGGAGACUGGAAUUCCUGGUGUAGCGGUGAAAUGCGCAGAUAUCAGGAGGAACACCGGUGGCGAAGGCGGGUCUCUGGGCCGAUACUGACGCUGAGGAGCGAAAGCGUGGGGAGCGAACAGG